rnacentral:rRNA from 1 species
UGUAGACCCGAAACCGGAUGAUCUAUCCAUGGCCAGGAUGAAGGUGCGGUAACACGCACUGGAGGUCCGAACCCACGUCUGUUGCAAAAGACGGGGAUGAGCUGUGGAUAGGGGUGAAAGGCUAAACAAAUCCGGAAAUAGCUGGUUCUCUCCGAAAACUAUUUAGGUAGUGCCUCGAGAUUACACUGACGGGGGUAGAGCACUGUUAUGGCUAGGGGGUCAUUGCGAUUUACCAACCCAUGGCAAACUCCGAAUACCGUCAAGUGCGUCCUCGGGAGACAGACAGCGGGUGCUAACGUCCGUUGUCAAGAGGGAAACAACCCAGACCGCCAGCUAAGGUCCCAAAUGACAUGCUAAGUGGUAAACGAAGUGGGAAGGCCAAGACAGCCAGGAUGUUGGCUUAGAAGCAGCCAUCAUUCAAAGAAAGCGUAAUAGCUCACUGGUCGAGUCGUCCUGCGCGGAAGAUGUAACGGGGCUCAAGCAUGUAACCGAAGCUGCGGAUGCGAGCUUGCUCGCAUGGUAGGAGAGCGUUCUGUAGGCCUGCGAAGGUGGUGGUGUAAACCCUGCUGGAGGUAUCAGAAGUGCGAAUGCUGACAUGAGUAGCGAUAAAGCGGGUGAAAGUCCCGCUCGCCGAAAACCCAAGGUUUCCUACGCAACGUUCAUCGGCGUAGGGUGAGUCGGCCCCUAAGGCGAGGCAGAAAUGCGUAGUCGAUGGGAAACGGGUCAAGAUUCCCGUACCGGUUGUGAAUGCGAUGGGGGGACGGAGAAGGGUAGCUCAGCGGCCUGUUGGAAUAGGUCGUUUAAGCGUGUAGGAGUGGUCUCCUGGCAAAUCCGGAGAUCUUAUCUGAGGCGUGAUGACGAGGGUCUACGGACCUGAAGUGAGUAAUCCCAAGCUUCCAGGAAAAGCCUCUAAGCUUCAGUUCACAACUGACCGUACCGCAAACCGACACAGGUGGGUAGGUAGAGAAUACCAAGGCGCUUGAGAGAACUCGGGUUAAGGAACUCGGCAAAUUGACACCGUAACUUCGGGAGAAGGUGUGCCCCGGUAGCGUGUAGGACUUCGCGUCCGAAGCGUGAUGGGGUCGCAGAGAAUAGGUGGCUGCGACUGUUUAAUAAAAACACAGCUCUGUGCCAACACGAAAGUGGACGUAUACGGAGUGACGCCUGCCCGGUGCCGGAAGGUUAAGUGAUGGGGUGCAAGCUCUUGAUCGAAGCCCCGGUAAACGGCGGCCGUAACUAUAACGGUCCUAAGGUAGCGAAAUUCCUUGUCGGGUAAGUUCCGACCCGCACGAAUGGCGUAACGAUGGCCACACUGUCUCAACCCGAGACUCAGCGAAGUUGAAAUGUUUGUGAAGAUGCAAUCUCCCCGCUGCUAGACGGAAAGACCCCGUGAACCUUUACUGUAGCUUUGCAUUGGACUUUGAACAGGCUUGUGUAGGAUAGGUGGGAGGCUUUGAAGCUGAGACGCUAGUUUCAGUGGAGCCGUCCUUGAAAUACCACCCUGGUGUGUUUGAGGUUCUAACCUGGGUCCAUCAUCUGGAUCGGGGACCGUGCAUGGUAGGCAGUUUGACUGGGGCGGUCUCCUCCCAAAGUGUAACGGAGGAGUUCGAAGGUUACCUAGGUACGGUCGGACAUCGUACUGAUAGUGCAAUGGCAAAAGGUAGCUUGACUGCGAGACCGACAAGUCGAGCAGGUGCGAAAGCAGGACAUAGUGAUCCGGUGGUUCUGAAUGGAAGGGCCAUCGCUCAACGGAUAAAAGGUACUCCGGGGAUAACAGGCUGAUUCCGCCCAAGAGUUCAUAUCGACGGCGGAGUUUGGCACCUCGAUGUCGGCUCAUCACAUCCUGGGGCUGUAGCCGGUCCCAAGGGUAUGGCUGUUCGCCAUUUAAAGUGGUACGUGAGCUGGGUUUAAAACGUCGUGAGACAGUUUGGUCCCUAUCUGCAGUGGGCGUUGGAAGUUUGAGGGGGGCUGCUCCUAGUACGAGAGGACCGGAGUGGACGCAUCUCUGGUGUACCGGUUGUGACGCCAGUCGCAUCGCCGGGUAGCUAUAUGCGGAAGAGAUAAACGCUGAAAGCAUCUAAGCGUGAAACUCGCCUCAAGAUGAGACUUCCCUGGAGACUUGAUCUCCCUGAAGGGCCGUGGAAGACCACCACGUUGAUAGGUCGGGUGUGGAAGCGCAGUAAUGCGUUAAGCUAACCGAUACUAAUUACCCGUGAGGCUUGAUCCU